rnacentral:rRNA from 1 species
GAUGAACGCUGGCGGCGUGCCUAAUACAUGCAAGUCGAGCGAACAGACGAGGAGCUUGCUCCUCUGAUGUUAGCGGCGGACGGGUGAGUAACACGUGGAUAACCUACCUAUAAGACUGGGAUAACUUCGGGAAACCGGAGCUAAUACCGGAUAACAUGUUGAACCGCAUGGUUCAACAGUGAAAGACGGUCUUGCUGUCACUUAUAGAUGGAUCCGCGCCGCAUUAGCUAGUUGGUAAGGUAACGGCUUACCAAGGCAACGAUGCGUAGCCGACCUGAGAGGGUGAUCGGCCACACUGGAACUGAGACACGGUCCAGACUCCUACGGGAGGCAGCAGUAGGGAAUCUUCCGCAAUGGGCGAAAGCCUGGCGGAGCAACGCCGCGUGAGUGAAGAAGGUCUUCGGAUCGUAAAACUCUGUUAUUAGGGAAGAACAAAUGUGUAAGUAACUAUGCACGUCUUGACGGUACCUAAUCAGAAAGCCACGGCUAACUACGUG